rnacentral:ncRNA from 2 species
CUGGUCUCAUCGGGGUGCCCACGGUGAUCUGCCGUGCGGCUGAGAAAUUCUACCCGCUGAACCUGAUCCGGUUAGCACCGGCGUAGGGAGUGGGAUGGGCAAGGUC